rnacentral:tRNA from 1 species
AUUUUAAUAGCUUAUAAUUAGAGCAUGAUAUUGAAGAUAUCAAGGAGGUUUUGAACCUUAAAAUA